rnacentral:lncRNA from 1 species
ACAAUAGAAGCUGCUAAUGUAACCAACUUCUCAACAUGUCCAAAAAUAACACAAAGCCGUCUUACAUCUUCAAUCAUAUGAUAAUAUCACUAUCACCAGAUCUAUUAUAUGCUACAAAUAAAAACAAAUAUUAGUAAAUCCUAGAGAGCACAGUUCCUAGAGAAUCAAAGACACCAGAGAAGCUAAUGUUUUGAGGUACAGUUGUCCAAUUUUAGUUGUCAUCUGCUUUAAAUCACCAAUUGAUGUUUGAUUAAGCGUGUCUCUGAAGGCAGUACAAUCCAUUUGUUCCAACAGUUGCUGCCAUCGCAGGGUUUCCAGAUAUAAUGAAGAACCUAACUUGAGAUGAUGUGAUGGUUAAAAUUUUG